rnacentral:rRNA from 1 species
GAUGAGCGCUGGCGGCGUGCCUAAUACAUGCAAGUCGAGCGAACAGAUGAGGAGCUUGCUCCUCUGACGUUAGCGGCGGACGGGUGAGUAACACGUGGAUAACCUACCUAUAAGACUGGGAUAACUUCGGGAAACCGGAGCUAAUACCGGAUAAUAUAUUGAACCGCAUGGUUCAAUAGUGAAAGACGGUUUUGCUGUCACUUAUAGAUGGAUCCGCGCCGCAUUAGCUAGUUGGUAAGGUAACGGCUUACCAAGGCAACGAUGCGUAGCCGACCUGAGAGGGUGAUCGGCCACCCUGGAACUGAGACACGGUCCAGACUCCUACGGGAGGCAGCAGUAGGGAAUCUUCCGCAAUGGGCGAAAGCCUGACGGAGCAACGCCGCGUGAGUGAUGAAGGUCUUCGGAUCGUAAAACUCUGUUAUUAGGGAAGAACAAAUGUGUAAGUAACUAUGCACGUCUUGACGGUACCUAAUCAGAAAGCCACGGCUAACUACGUG